rnacentral:rRNA from 1 species
AUCUUUUAGUUGUAAUUAAAAGUGUGCCCUGCCCAAUGUUUAGUAAAUGGCCGCAGUAUUUUGACUGUGCAAAGGUAGCAUAAUAAUUAGUCUUGUAAUUUAAGACUGGAAUGAAGGGGUUAACCAAAAGAGAUCUGUCUAAGUGUGAUUUCUAAACUUUACUUUUUAGUAAAAAGGCUAAAAUUGACCUUUUAGACAAGAAGACCCUAUAAAGUUUGACAUAAUAAGUUUAAAAUAUGAAGAUUAUGUUUAGCUGGGGCGGCGUAAAAAUAAACAUUUUUAGAUUUUAAAUUCUUAGAGUUUUUAUACCCAAAAAUUUUGAACAUUAAAUAAAUUACUUUAGGGAUAACAGCGUUAUAUAUUCAGAAAGUUCAAAUUGACGAAUAUGUUUGCGACCUCGAUGUUGGAUUAGAUUUCCUCUGUUGUGAAAAAGUAACAAUAGGAGGUCUGUUCGACCUUUAAAAAUCUCCA